rnacentral:rRNA from 1 species
CUCCUACGGGAGGCCGCAGUAGGGAAUAUUGCGCAAUGGGGGAAACCCUGACGCAGCGACGCCGCGUGAGUGAUGAAGGCCUUCGGGUCGUAAAGCUCUGUCGUAUGGGAAUAAUAAACUGAAUGUACCAUACAAGAAAGGAUCGGCUAACUUCGUGCCAACAGCCGCGGUAAUAC